GCGGAGGAAAAGAAACCAACAGGGAUUGCCCCAGUAACGGCGAGUGAAGCGGCAACAGCUCAAAUUUGAAAUCUGGUCCCCCCGCGGGGCCCGAGUUGUAAUUUGAAGAGGAUGCUUCUGGCAAGGUGCCGUCCGAGUUCCCUGGAACGGGACGCCGCAGAGGGUGAGAGCCCCGUACGGUCGGACGCCGAGCCUCUGUGAAGCUCCUUCGACGAGUCGAGUAGUUUGGGAAUGCUGCUCAAAAUGGGAGGUAAACCCCUUCUAAAGCUAAAUACCGGCCAGAGACCGAUAGCGCACAAGUAGAGUGAUCGAAAGAUGAAAAGCACUUUGAAAAGAGAGUUAAAAAGCACGUGAAAUUGUUGAAAGGGAAGCGCUUGCGACCAGACUCGCGCCCGUCGGAUCAGCCGUCGCUCGUCGGCGGCGCACUCCGGCGGGCUCGGGCCAGCAUCAGUUCGCCUCGGGGGGAGAAAGGCGGCGGGAAUGUGGCUCUACGGAGUGUUAUAGCCCGCCGCGUAAUACCCCCGGGCGGACUGAGGACCGCGCGUAGCAC
rnacentral:rRNA from 1 species